UACGGAGGAUGCGAGCGUUAUCCGGAUUUAUUGGGUUUAAAGGGUGCGUAGGCGGAUCGUUAAGUCAGUGGUCAAAUUGAGGGGCUCAACCCCUUCCCGCCAUUGAAACUGGCGAUCUUGAGUGGAAGAGAAGUAUGCGGAAUGCGUGGUGUAGCGGUGAAAUGCAUAGAUACCACGCAGAACCCCGAUUGCGAAGGCAGCAUGCCGGCUUCCUACUGACGCUGAAGCACGAAAGCGUGGGGAUCGAACAGG
rnacentral:rRNA from 1 species